UACAAAGCAAAAGACUUCUGUUUGUAUUCAUGUCUAAUGCUCAGCAGACAAAAUACUGUUUUCACUUUAUUAUUGCAGAGCUUGUCAUUGGAACUGUGGAACGCAGACAUGUCAGAGGUCUGGAGACCAGAAGGGAAGUCAGAGGUGCUGCUGUUCCAGCUGAUGACUCUAUAGAAGUCCGUGGAGAAGCGUCCUGCUCUCAUGCAAGGUGGGCUCCAUCCUGAGAGGUGUCUUCUGCAGACCUGGGAGGGCGUCCUUGCAGCAGGUGACUUUUCUCACUGGUCCCUGGGAAUAAAUCUGCCCUCUUA
rnacentral:lncRNA from 1 species